GACGAACGCUGGCGGCGUGCUUAACACAUGCAAGUCGAACGGAAAGGCCCUGCUUUUGUGGGGUGCUCGAUUGGCGAACGGGUGAGUAACACGUGAGUAUCCUGCCCUUGACUUUGGGAUAACUUCAGGAAACUGGGGCUAAUACCGGAUAGGAGCUCCUGCUCCAUAGUGGGGGUUGGAAAGUUUCGGCGGUUGGGGAUGGACUCGCGGCCUAUCAGCUUGUUGGUGGGGUAGUGGCUUACCAAGGCUUUGACGGGUAGGCGGCCUGAGAGGGUUACCGGCCACAUUGGGACUGAGAUACGGCCCAGACUGGAACGGGACGCAGCGGUGGGGAAUAUUGCAGAAUGGGCGGAAGCCAGAUGCAGCAAAGCCGCGUGCGGGAUGACGGGCUUCGGGUUGUAAACCGAUUUCGCCUGUGACGAGGCGAGAGUGACGGUAAUGGGUAAAGAAGCACCGGCUAACUACGUG
rnacentral:rRNA from 1 species